UACGUAGGUGGCGAGCGUUGUCCGGAUUUAUUGGGCGUAAAGCGCCCGCAGGCGGCUUGAUAAGUUUCAGGUGAAAUCUCCCGGCUUAACUGGGAGGGGUCCUGGAAAACUGUCAGGCUUGAGGCAGAGAGAGGGAUGUGGAAUUCCCGGUGUAGUAGUGAAAUGCAUAGAUAUCGGGAGGAACACCAGUGGCGAAGGCGGCAUCCUGGCUCUGUCCUGACGCUCAGGGGCGAAAGCGUGGGGAGCAAACCGG
rnacentral:rRNA from 1 species